CAUGAAAACACCACCACACCAGGCGUGGCUGUGCCUCACGCCACCCACCUCUCCUCCAGACUUAACCAUGUGGGUGCCAAGUGGGUCCUGGGUGCUUUGGAAGUUGGAGGUGAACCCGUGGGGGUGGAGUACCUGAGGAGAAGGAGAGUGCCAGGUGAAAAGGUACAGAUACAAGCACUAAAUAGAAGAAAGAGAUACCAAUCCUUGUCGCUGGGUAGUGUGUGGGACAGUGCAGGGCAAGGACAGGCACCGCUGCCCCUGCCACCUUAGCAAUUUAUAUAGUAAAACAUUCACAAUAUUAUACUUGCCAGUUCAAAUUGUGUUGCACAACAGUGCUCUUUUAUGGGUGUUGAGCAAAGCCAUUUUAAACGAGAUGAAGAGUGCAGUAGCCUGAUUAGCAGCUGUGUGCCUCAAGAAUAUGGCAUUUCUGUUUCUCAGUUGGACUCAGUUAAACAUUAUUCAGUCUGUAAUUCUUCUUUGUCUGGACUAGACAGAUCAGUUGUUUCUGCUCAUUGUAAAUUGCAUUUGCUUGCAUAGUUGGGUGUUUUGCUCUCUCCCCUCGGCACCUGAUUGUUUACAUGCACCUCAAUCGAUCCUGCAUAGACAAGGUGGAAAGGCUCAGUUCUUUGUAGCUUCCAGCCAAGAUUCACUUCACAGAUGAUAACUGGCAAAGCCAUUCAACCCCUGGGCAAACGUGCCAAAUUAAUUUUGAAGCUAGGCAAACAGAAACAAGUCCUUUGCCUGCAUUUAGCUGCUCUGAAAAGCCUUUUGCCGAGGACAGAAGGGUCAUCUGAACAGAUUACAGUUUGGGCAGAAUUGUUCUAAACGGGAAGGCAAGCUGGAGCCAGAGAACAUGGGAGAAACAGAGUUAUUUCUGAAUAUUUUACUGGAAUUAAGAAUUAACAUUAGUCAUCAUAGUUCUGCUGGUUAAUGGCGAAGUGUGCUGCCAAACUCAGCCAUUCUCCAGCUUUUGGCACAGCAUUGCCAUGUCUCACAGAGCUGGAGAGAAGUGAGCCACCUUGCCCUAGCCUGGAAUCAUCCCCAAGACACGGUGUUUUCUUUCACUGCCCUGAAAGCCAGUACUUGUUCUGGCUUCCUGGCUUCCUGCCUUGCUGUUCCAAACACAGCAAGGUGUGGGACGGAGGCAUGGAAAACUGCAGGGUGUUUCUGAGUGCCUGUGUGGCAAAUGGACAAACUCAUAACCUCCAUGGACUUCCCAAACGAUGAUUCACAGAUAGUCAUGACAAUUUAUUUCUAGCAGUCAGUCUGCAGGGAUCUUGUGGCUUCAAAAACCAAAAGACAAAACCAGUAUGGGAAAGCAGGAUUGUUGCUACCUUUGGAUGUUGACUGACCCUUUUCCUGCUUUGCUGUGGCUAUCAAUCCAAUUCCAGCAGCCAUUUGAGCAGGACUGCAUAAUCUAACCUCUGCUAUCUACAUCUGUGUCUGCAUACCUGGACAGAGAGAGACCGACUGGUGGCAGAACAUCCUGGCUGACACGUACCAGAGUGCAACUAAGAGAGACACCAGCAAUUAACAAGGCUCUGGAAGAAGUGACUGGUUGAGAGACACUCCAGACAUCCAGAUUAGCAAGACCUACUGGGAUAGGAGACUGGAAGUGAGAGGAAGAAUGACAAAUUAGACAGUGCUCUGCAUGGGAGAGGGACAUGCAAACAAACCUGCAUUCCAUGUCUGCUGAUUUGGUCCUCUUGCUGCUGUGUCCGGCUUUGCCAUUCCAACUGUCCACAUCAUAGCAGCUGGAAGAAAGUAAUCGGCUGCAUAAAACACUGGCCACUAUAGCUCAGAGGAAAUAAGUAUUCAGUUGUCCCUAAAAAUACCAACCCUUGCCCCUGUAAGUGCUUCUAAAACAGUUGGUUUCCCUAGGCACUGAGACAGCAAGGUGGGAGAAAGCCAAGGAAAUUCAGGUUUUAAGAAAGUCCCAGAGCACAAGUAGCUAAGAGCCAAUAUAAUUUUCUCUGUGGAUUAAAGAAAGCAAAAUUCCAGAACUAGGGUCCUCAACUUUUUUGUUUUCUUCCUGAUUUCUGGCUUUGCUUUUCAAAGAAAACGAUUUCCCAGGGAAUGGCAGUAAUACAAAAGGUAACCAGAGGUUAACUAACACAGCUUAUUCAUGUUCUGCUAAAGGUACAGCACACAAGUGAGAGAUUGCAGGAGCUGUCAGAAUCCAAGUUUUCUCUCUGCCUGUUGUGGUUCCUUCCUGUCAAAAUAUUGCAUAUUUCUGUUUUGGUUCCAAUA